rnacentral:snoRNA from 1 species
CAAACAGAGAUGAACAAUACAAUAACUGAAAUGAAAACUACACUGGCUAUUUGGGAGAAUAAAGAAAAGACCACACUCCACAGUGAGCUAUACCACUUAGUAUAGUUCAUUACUAUUUUGUGGCCUACAUU